GGAGUUUGGACCGUGUCUCAGUUCCAAUGUGGGGGACCUUCCUCUCAGAACCCCUACCGAUCGAAGGUACGGUGGGCCGUUGCCCCGCCGUCUGCCUAAUCGGACGCAUCCCCAUCCCGGGCGAUAAAUCUUUGUUCCUCGUCGGAUGCCGUCAAAGGAAAACAUAGGGUAUUAAUCCGACUUUCGCCGGGCUAUGCCCUACCAGGGGGAAGGUUGGAUACGCGUUACUCACCCGUGCGCCGGUCGCCAUCAGCGGGUAUUGCUACCGCCAUGCUGCCCUCCGACUUGCAUGUGUUAAGCCUGUAGCUAGCGUUCAUC
rnacentral:rRNA from 1 species